GCACUGCAGAACUCCUUACCUUAUCAUUGUCAUCUCUUCUCUAAAUCCAUGCCUUACAGUGGCAGAAAAACAGAAGUGCAGAAAGGCAAAUAUCUUGAGAAAUUUAAGUAACAGAGUCGUUUAGCUGAUGCCACUGAGGACACAUUCUCUUGCCUCUUGCUAAGGGAAAAACAACAAAAAAGAAAAAACAACAGAGGCAUAAGUCCCUAAUUUCUACACAAGUUGCUUUGAGACAACUGCUGCAUUUGGGAGCACAGUGGACAUGACUGUUGUCUCAGAUUUAUUAAAAUGGGGUAGUUAUCUUUAAAUUGUUCCAUCCACCAUAUAUUGUAAGUAUCUCAACCACCUCAAAAAUAUCCACUGUUUAAUUUUCACCUCUUUCUAACAUUUUA
rnacentral:lncRNA from 1 species